UACGAAGGGGGCUAGCGUUGCUCGGAAUCACUGGGCGUAAAGCGCACGUAGGCGGAUUUUUAAGUCAGGGGUGAAAUCCUGGAGCUCAACUCCAGAACUGCCUUUGAUACUGGGAAUCUCGAGUCCGGAAGAGGUGAGUGGAACUGCGAGUGUAGAGGUGAAAUUCGUAGAUAUUCGCAAGAACACCAGUGGCGAAGGCGGCUUACUGGUCCGGUUCUGACGCUGAGGCGCGAAAGCGUGGGGAGCAAACAGG
rnacentral:rRNA from 1 species